UACGGAGGAUCCGAGCGUUAUCCGGAUUUAUUGGGUUUAAAGGGUGCGCAGGCGGAAGAUUAAGUCGGUGGUGAAAUUUUGCAGCUCAACUGUAAAAGUGCCAUUGAUACUGGUUUUCUUGAGUGUGGAUGAAGUAGGCGGAAUUUGUGGUGUAGCGGUGAAAUGCAUAGAUAUCACGAGGAACUCCGAUUGCGCAGGCAGCUUACUAAUCCACGACUGACGCUGAGGCACGAAAGCGUGUGGAUCAAACAGGAUUA
rnacentral:rRNA from 1 species